GACGAACGCUGGCGGCGUGCCUAAUACAUGCAAGUAGAACGCUGAAGGAGGAGCUUGCUCUUCUGGAUGAGUUGCGAACGGGUGAGUAACGCGUAGGUAACCUGCCUGGUAGCGGGGGAUAACUAUUGGAAACGAUAGCUAAUACCGCAUAACAGUAGAUGUUGCAUGACAUUUGCUUAAAAGGUGCAAUUGCAUCACUACCAGAUGGACCUGCGUUGUAUUAGCUAGUUGGUGGGGUAACGGCUCACCAAGGCGACGAUACAUAGCCGACCUGAGAGGGUGAUCGGCCACACUGGGACUGAGACACGGCCCAGACUCCUACGGGAGGCAGCAGUAGGGAAUCUUCGGCAAUGGACGGAAGUCUGACCGAGCAACGCCGCGGGAGUGAAGAAGGUUUUCGGAUCGUAAAGCUCUGUUGUAAGAGAAGAACGAGUGUGAGAGUGGAAAGUUCACACUGUGACGGUAUCUUACCAGAAAGGGACGGCUAACUACGUG
rnacentral:rRNA from 1 species